rnacentral:rRNA from 1 species
CGAGGACGAACGCUGGCGGCGUGCUUAACACAUGCAAGUCGAACGGUGACCCAGGGCUUGCCCUGGUGAUCAGUGGCGAACGGGUGAGUAACACGUGGGCAACCUGCCCCUGACUUCGGGAUAACUCCUCGAAAGAGGAGCUAAUACCGGAUACGACCACUUCGGACAUCCGAUGGUGGUGGAAAGUUUUUCGGUCAGGGAUGGGCCCGCGGCCUAUCAGCUAGUUGGUGGGGUAAUGGCCUACCAAGGCGACGACGGGUAGCCGGCCUGAGAGGGCGACCGGCCACACUGGGACUGAGACACGGCCCAGACUCCUACGGGAGGCAGCAGUGGGGAAUAUUGCGCAAUGGCGAAAGCCUGACGCAGCGACGCCGCGUGAGGGAUGAAGGCCUUCGGGUUGUAAACCUCUUUCAGCAGGGACGAAGCGAAAGUGACGGUACCUGCAGAAGAAGCACCGGCUAACUACGUG